AUUGAACGCUGGCGGCAUGCCUUACACAUGCAAGUCGAACGGUAACGGGCCUUCGGGUGCCGACGAGUGGCGAACGGGUGAGUAAUGUAUCGGAACGUACCUUUCAGUGGGGGAUAACGUAGCGAAAGUUACGCUAAUACCGCAUAUUCUGUGAGCAGGAAAGCAGGGGAUCGCAAGACCUUGCGCUGAUUGAGCGGCCGAUAUCAGAUUAGCUAGUUGGUGAGGUAAAGGCUCACCAAGGCGACGAUCCGUAGCUGGUCUGAGAGGAUGAUCAGCCACACUGGAACUGAGACACGGUCCAGACUCCUACGGGAGGCAGCAGUAGGGAAUAUUGGACAAUGGGCGCAAGCCUGAUCCAGCCAUGCCGCGUGAGUGAAGAAGGCCCUCGGGUUGUAAAGCUCUUUUGUCCGGAAAGAAAAGCGCCGGGUUAAUACCCUGGUGUCCUGACGGUACCGGAAGAAUAAGCACCGGCUAACUUCGUGCCAGCAGCCGAC
rnacentral:rRNA from 1 species